UACAGAGGUCUCAAGCGUUGUUCGGAAUCACUGGGCGUAAAGGGUGCGCAGGCGGCGCGGAAAGUCAGAUGUGAAAUCCGGGGGCUCAACCUCCGAAUUGCAUCCGAUACUCCCGCGCUAGAGAUUUGUAGAGGAGCUUGGAAUUCUCGGUGUAGCAGUGAAAUGCGUAGAUAUCGAGAAGAACGCUCGCAGCGAAAGCGAAGCUCUGGGCAACAUCUGACGCUCAUGCACGAAGGCCAGGGGAGCAAACGGG
rnacentral:rRNA from 1 species